rnacentral:rRNA from 1 species
CAGCAGCCACGGUAAUACGUAGGGUGCAAGCGUUAAUCGGAAUUACUGGGCGUAAAGCGUGCGCAGGCGGUUGUGUAAGUCUGAUGUGAAAGCCCCGGGCUCAACCUGGGAACUGCAUUGGAGACUGCACGGCUAGAGUGCGUCAGAGGGGGGUAGAAUUCCGCGUGUAGCAGUGAAAUGCGUAGAGAUGCGGAGGAAUACCGAUGGCGAAGGCAGCCCCCUGGGAUGACACUGACGCUCAUGCACGAAAGCGUGGGGAGCAAACAGGAUUAGAUACCCCCGUAGUCCCUGUCUCUUAUAC